rnacentral:misc_RNA from 1 species
GAUGAAGAACGCAGCGAAAUGCGAUAAGUAAUGUGAAUUGCAGAAUUCAGUGAAUCAUCGAAUCUUUGAACGCACAUUGCGCCCCUUGGUAUUCCGAGGGGCAUGCCUGUUCGAGCGUCAUUAUAACCCCUCAAGCUCGGCUUGGUGUUGGGGCCUCCCGCACGGGCAGCCCUUAAAAUCAGUGGCGGUGCCAUCUGGCUCUAAGCGUAGUAAUUCUUCUCGCUAUAGAGUCCCGGUGGAUGCUUGCCAUUAACCCCCAAUUUCAAUGGUUGACCUCGGAUCAGGUAGGGAUACCCGCUGAACUUAAGCAUAUCAAUAAGCGGAGGA